CACGUAGUUAGCCGUCCCUUUCUGGUAAGAUACCGUCACAGUGUGAACUUUCCACUCUCACACCCGUUCUUCUCUUACAACAGAGCUUUACGAUCCGAAAACCUUCUUCACUCACGCGGCGUUGCUCGGUCAGACUUUCGUCCAUUGCCGAAGAUUCCCUACUGCUGCCUCCCGUAGGAGUCUGGGCCGUGCCUCAGUCCCAGUGUGGCCGAUCACCCUCUCAGGUCGGCUAUGUAUCGUCGCCUAGGUGAGCCGUUACCUCACCUACUAGCUAAUACAACGCAGGUCCAUCUGGUAGUGGUGCAAUUGCACCUUUCAAUUAAUUAUCAUGCAAUAAUUAAUAUUAUGCGGUAUUAGCUAUCGUUUCCAAUAGUUAUCCCCCGCUACCAGGCAGGUUACCUACGCGUUACUCACCCGUUCGCAACUCACAGUCUAUGGUGUAGCAAGCUACGGUAUAAACUGUGCGUUCUACUUGCAUGUAUUAGGCACGCCGCCAGCGUUCG
rnacentral:rRNA from 1 species